rnacentral:piRNA from 1 species
GACUGUGUUUGUGCUGUGAC